rnacentral:rRNA from 1 species
UACGUAGGGUGCGAGCGUUGUCCGGAAUUACUGGGCGUAAAGAGCUCGUAGGUGGUUUGUCGCGUUGUCCGUGAAAACUCACAACUCAAUUGGGGGCGUGCGGGCGAUACGGGCAGACUGGAGUACUGCAGGGGAGACUGGAAUUCCUGGUGUAGCGGUGGAAUGCGCAGAUAUCAGGAGGAACACCGGUGGCGAAGGCGGGUCUCUGGGCAGUAACUGACGCUGAGGAGCGAAAGCGUGGGGAGCGAACAGG